CGAGUUAUCUGAACCUUCGGGGAACGAUAACGGCGUCGAGCGGCGGACGGGUGAGUAAUGCCUAGGAAAUUGCCCUGAUGUGGGGGAUAACCAUUGGAAACGAUGGCUAAUACCGCAUGAUGCCUACGGGCCAAAGAGGGGGACCUUCGGGCCUCUCGCGUCAGGAUAUGCCUAGGUGGGAUUAGCUAGUUGGUGAGGUAAGGGCUCACCAAGGCGACGAUCCCUAGCUGGUCUGAGAGGAUGAUCAGCCACACUGGAACUGAGACACGGUCCAGACUCCUACGGGAGGCAGCAGUGGGGAAUAUUGCACAAUGGGCGCAAGCCUGAUGCAGCCAUGCCGCGUGUGUGAAGAAGGCCUUCGGGUUGUAAAGCACUUUCAGUCGUGAGGAAGGUAGUGUAGUUAAUAGCUGCAUUAUUUGACGUUAGCGACAGAAGAAGCACCGGCUAACUCCGUGCCAGCAGCCGCGGUAAUACGGAGGGUGCGAGCGUUAAUCGGAAUUACUGGGCGUAAAGCGCAUGCAGGUGGUUUGUUAAGUCAGAUGUGAAAGCCCGGGGCUCAACCUCGGAAUAGCAUUUGAAACUGGCAGACUAGAGUACUGUAGAGGGGGGUAGAAUUUCAGGUGUAGCGGUGAAAUGCGUAGAGAUCUGAAGGAAUACCGGUGGCGAAGGCGGCCCCCUGGACAGAUACUGACACUCAGAUGCGAAAGCGUGGGGAGCAAACAGGAUUAGAUACCCUGGUAGUCCACGCCGUAAACGAUGUCUACUUGGAGGUUGUGGCCUUGAGCCGUGGCUUUCGGAGCUAACGCGUUAAGUAGACCGCCUGGGGAGUACGGUCGCAAGAUUAAAACUCAAAUGAAUUGACGGGGGCCCGCACAAGCGGUGGAGCAUGUGGUUUAAUUCGAUGCAACGCGAAGAACCUUACCUACUCUUGACAUCCAGAGAACUUUCCAGAGAUGGAUUGGUGCCUUCGGGAACUCUGAGACAGGUGCUGCAUGGCUGUCGUCAGCUCGUGUUGUGAAAUGUUGGGUUAAGUCCCGCAACGAGCGCAACCCUUAUCCUUGUUUGCCAGCGAGUAAUGUCGGGAACUCCAGGGAGACUGCCGGUGAUAAACCGGAGGAAGGUGGGGACGACGUCAAGUCAUCAUGGCCCUUACGAGUAGGGCUACACACGUGCUACAAUGGCGCAUACAGAGGGCGGCCAACUUGCGAAAGUGAGCGAAUCCCAAAAAGUGCGUCGUAGUCCGGAUUGGAGUCUGCAACUCGACUCCAUGAAGUCGGAAUCGCUAGUAAUCGUGGAUCAGAAUGCCACGGUGAAUACGUUCCCGGGCCUUGUACACACCGCCCGUCACACCAUGGGAGUGGGCUGCAAAAGAAGUAGGUAGUUUAAC
rnacentral:rRNA from 1 species